AAACAACCAAUCAGAUAGAUUUAUUCAAAACAAAGUGUAAACAAAAAACAGAACAUAAUAAUAAGAUAUACAGAAAAUUACAACAAGUACAAAAAAUAUAUGAAAAAAGUAUAAAUUUAAGAAUUUCAAGUAUAUACUGUCAAUGUCUGCUUUUGACAGGCAAAGACAGAGUUAAAUAUAGGAAAAAGUUUGUUCUGAUACUUCGGGCCCCCGCUCAGUGAGACCCUUCAUCAGCAGUAUAACCAACACAAAUUUGUUUUAAAGUGAUUUUAUUUGUGUUAUAGUGGUAAAAGGAGAAUCGACUGCGAAUCGCCUCCAAACAAUACAAAGAAUCUUACAAUAACAACCUUCGAGUCACCCCCAGCAGCGAGGGUGACUAACCAAUUAGAAUGCAUUAAAAUGUAAUUGGCGCGAACUGUUAACAAGAACAGGCCGAACGGCCAGAACACUCCCCGUCUGGUAUCUAAUGAUACCACUAUUAAUUUAAACAAUCAAACGAACGUUUUUAAUUAAAGUUAGUCCUGAUCAUUUUAACUCAUGCACAGUUUUGAGCAGCACGACUUCAGUUACUGGCUUAGUGUAUAUGUGCUUCGCACCGUCCCUGGUGGUAAUCAAAUUUAACUUCCGUACUUUGCCAUCGGCGCUUUUAUACGCUUUUAUUACCCGGGCGAGUGGCCAUUCAUUUCUUGCGACGUCUUUACAACGUAAUAACACGAGGUCUCCUGCUUCAAGAUUUGGAACUUCUUCUUGCCACUUCCGACGCGGCUGCAGUGUGGGCAAGAACUCUUUUCGCCAUUUCGACCAAAAAACAUUCGCUAAGUGUUGUACGUGUCUCCAUUGCUUGUUAUGUUUACAAAGGUCGGUCGCUGUAAAUUCUCCCGGGAUAGCUUUCAAAGUUGAAGUUUUUUGGGUUAGCAGCGUAGAAGGCGUAAGGAUCUCAGGCAUGGUCGGGUCGGUGGAAACUGGUACUAAGGGUCGACUGUUGACGAUAGCCAUUAUUUCGGCCAUAAGGGUGGUGAGAACCUCGUGCGUGAGGUGCCUUGAUCCAAGAUCGGCUAGCAUGGCGUUUAAGACUUUUCUAACAAUUCCGAUCAUUCUCUCCCAGACACCGCCCAUAUGGGAUCCAUGGGGAGGAUUGAAAACCCAUUCACAGCGUUCUUUGCUCAGGUAGGUGUCGACGGUGUUCUUAUUUAUUUCUUUAAACGCGGCAUUCAAUUCGUUCCACGCUCCCACGAAGUUGGUACCGUUAUCGGAGCGGAGUUGGAUGGCGGGACCCCUGACGGCGAAGAAUCUACGCAAGG